GGGGGAAUGUUGUUGAGCAGUGAGCGUCAGUUUUACCAAGGCAGUAUCCAAAGAAAUGCAGCUCAACUACUUCAUUAUUACGAUCUCUGUGUGCAUCAAAAGUGCCUUAAGUCAAUCUCACUGCAUUGGCACCUGCUAUUCUGGAAGACUUUUCCCAGAGGCCCAAGACAUCUUCCAUGGAAAACAUAUCAAGGGGCACUCCUACAACAACAUCACCACUGAUAAUCCAGUCAAAUGCUACUCAUCUUGUGUCCAAGAUUGUCGUUGUAAGGCGUGCCAGAUGAAAGAUGCAAGAUGUGAGUUGCUGGAUGAGGACAAGACUUCAAAAAAGUUAUUAGACGAGCAAGGAUACGUGCACUUUGAACUCAAGCAGACGAUGUAUCAUGUGGCCUCCCACUUGGUAACACCAGGUGUUUGCUAUAAUGGCUGUUGUCGAUCUCAGCCCUGCAUGAACGGAGCGACAUGCGUAGAACAUUGCAACUCACCAAAGCAAAAGUUCACAUGCAAAUGUAAAAUCGACUAUAAAGGAACAGUAUGUGAGGAACGUGUGUGGGCAUCUUGCAUGGAUGUUUUAGCGUCUUCAGAGGUAUUUCCAAAUAAUGGUGUGUAUGCCAUAAAGAUCGAUAACAGUGCCAUUUCAGUUUACUGUGCAUUUGUCAAGCCAAACCAAGCCUGGACACUGAUUGAGUCUUUCAAUUCUAAAGCAAAUCCAUUCAAGAACACAACCUUUUACAAAAACGCUCCUAAAAACGAAGACAGUCCAAACUUUGAUCUUUAUCGUUCAUCUCUAAAGAGAAUGAAAGAAAUUCGUUCCAAAUCCACCUUGUUCAGAGCCACAUGCGAUUUCCCAAAUAGAGUGUCGUUGACUCCCGACCUUCUGAUCGGUCGCUUGAGUGAUGUCGACAUUCUUAAAACAGUAACAGCGUAUUCACUGAUAUGCAGGAGGUUCAAAUUCAUUGAUGUUCGAGGAUACAAUUGUUCUGACUGCACAGCACUGACGGCUUGGGAUGUAAGACACCACUUCCAUAUUGAUGUCACCUGGCCAAACUAUAAGUGUCAUUUCAAUCCUCCAAUCGCUGUACCGAAUGUUGAUAGCUUUGGCUUUUAUAAAUACACUGAUAAGGUAUCGAAAUGCACUGCCAAGACGAAGGCUACCACACAGUGGUGGUUAGGAGAAGAGAAACAAUCCGCUGGAGCAGCCUAGUCUAACAAACAGCGAGGGUUACGUUAGGAGAUCAGAGAAAAUACACUGCUAUACCCCAGUCUAGCACAAAAUGGUGGUUAGGAGAAUAGAAAUAAUCAUGAUACAUUGCAACACCCCAGUCGACCACGCAGUGGUGGUUAGGAGAAGAGAAAUAAACGAAAUGCACUGCAACACUCCCGUCUACCACACAGUGGUGGUUAGGAGAAGAGAAAUAAUCAAAAUACACUGCAACACCCCAGUCUACCACACAGUGGUGGUUAUAGCUGAGAAAUAAUCAAAACACACUGCACCACACCAGUCUACUACACAGCGGUGGUUAGGAGAAGAGAAAUAAUCAAAAUACACUGUAACACCGCAGUCUACCACACAGUGGUGGUUAGAAGAAGAGAAAUAAUCAAAAUACACUGCGACACCCUAGUCUACCACACAGUGGUGGUUAGGAGAAGAGAAAUAAACGAAAUGCACUGCAAAACUCCAGUCUACCACACAGUGGUGGUUAGGAGAAGAGAAAUAAUCAAAAUACACUGCAACACCCCAUCUACCACACAGUGGUGGUUAGGAGAAGAGAAAUAAUCAAAAUACACUGC
rnacentral:misc_RNA from 1 species